rnacentral:lncRNA from 1 species
AAAUAAUGUCUUCAAAACCUUAAGCACAUUCAUGUUUAUUGUCAAAAACAUAUAAAGUCAAUACCAAAAUUAACACCCAUAUGAAAAAUAGAAAGUCCAUACCACAGCUCGUUUCUAAACAAUGCAAAAAUCACAAAGUUUAUAAAAGAGAGUUUGAAAUACAUUUGUAUAAAAUCCGAUAACAGUGCUCCGAUUGCCAAGUUCGAGUCCUAACCUCAUGAGUUAUCUGGAAAGAUGGGAAACCAAAGAAUGAGCUAUAAAGCUCAGUGUGGUCUUAACACAAAAAAAUUGGCACUUAAGUAGUAAUAUAACAUACAAAUUGCAGAAAACAUAUUAUCAAUCUCAUGGAAAAUUUUCAAUAGAUACACAGUAUGCAUGAAUAAUAGUACGUAAUUCCUACCCCAACCAUUUGCUAAACUCCACAGUAAAAGUUCCCCAGAACUCAUCCAUCUUUACAUACCACAAUAAUAAUAUGCAGAUGAACCGCCGGUUUAACAGUUUAUUUGAUCAGUGAACCGAUCCGGCAUUUAAAGCCUAUUCUUCCACCUUCAAUAUCCCAAUCCCAAUGCAACAGUAUGCCAUGCUUUUAUAACUCAUAAAACAAUAAUGAUAGUAGUAUUAACAUGCAACUUUCAUGUAAUUAGUGGCGGUUUGUAAUUUUAACAGUAGUAAUAGGCAUGCAUCGGUAAUAAUUGUAGAACUAACACAGGGAAUUUGUCACCACGUAAUCAACAUAAUCAAAUCAGAAAAUAACAUCAUACUACCAUCAGAUAUACCAUACAUGGUGUUGUUACCCACUAAGUUGAAUCGUUCGUUUUUCAGUAUCGGAUUAAGGCUUAUUUUCAUAUCAGAUAUGGGGUUACUUAGCAAACCUAAAACCAUUAGAAUAAUUUAAUCCUCAUCAAGAUUAAAAUCAGUAAUCAAAUUUGCAAGGGAGGUACAUACACACUUGCUCAAAUGACAACACACACAUGCAAAAACUAGUCAAGACACACACUUUCUCUCUAAGCCGUGCGACACCCAUCUUGAUCAUAUCUAAUCUGAAUCUCCCAGAUAUGUCCCUUAAACGGCAUACACACACCAAUCGUUCAAGCUUGUAAUUGGCACUAGCCAGAUUCAGGAUUAAAAAAAUUUUGUUUAAUCAAUACGAAAAGGAAAUAGAUUGUACACACCAUUUGUGUACUCAAAUCUGAAUCUCAUUGUAAAUAGAUGAUUUACACUUACCAACUAAUGCAAUUGGGAAUGAAUUAAUCGCUGGUAGCCUUAAGUAUCUACAGGAUCUGGACAAUCUAUAUGGUUUGCCAAAUGAGAAGAUUGGCAACUUAGUGAGUGAAAAAUCUAGCAGUUUUGAUCAGGGUACAAAAAGUGCGGCAGUGAUAAGGGGGAAAAGGGGGAAAUGGCAGCCUAAAAAGUGGUGGAGGUGGCCGCGACAAAGGAAAAACCAAGAGCGUUUGAAUGAUUCAAGGGUGUAAUGAGCGGUGACAAGGAAGAAAGAAAAGAAUAAAAGGGGAAGAGGAGGACAAUAUAUGGGAAAUUAGGAAAGAAAAGUGAUGAGAAGAAAAGAUGAGAGGUGGUGAGUGAAGUUAGAAAGAAUAGUGGUGAUGAGCUGAAAAAUGUUAGGGUUUGGGCGACACAAAACUAGGAAAUAAAAAAAAGGGUGGCCGACCAAGAAUUGUAUGUAUAUAUAUAUCUAGGGUCAGCAGCACCCUAGUGUUUUUAUU